rnacentral:lncRNA from 1 species
UUUAAAAUACCAUCAAGCUCUCAUAACUAUUAAAAAUAUUCUCUAAUAUCCCUACUAAUAAAAAGCCAUACAAACUUAAUCGAUUAGCUCUACAAUUUUAUUUGAACAUCCUAAAAAAAUAGUUGAGGGUAAAAUCAUUAUUCUAUUUAGCAUUUAUCUUAGAGUUAUAAUAUUUUCCACCUACCGACUGUUCCUAGAGCAAGUGGCAAAGGGCUUGGUGGUCGGUACCCGAGACCCAAAUUCGAAUCCUAGUUGAUUGACAUUUCCAGCUAAGUUUAUUUCUAAAUGAAAUAAACGAAAUUUUUAAAUGAAAUAAACGAAGCAGGUAGCGUGCUAUCUAUCUCUCAAAAAAAAAUAUUUUCCACCUAAAAUUUAAAGAUUUAUUGAAAAAUUUUGUAUUAAAAAAUACAUC